rnacentral:rRNA from 1 species
GAUGAACGCUAGCUACAGGCUUAACACAUGCAAGUCGCGGGGCAGCAUGGGGGUUGCUUGCAAUCCCCGAUGGCGACCGGCGCACGGGUGAGUAACGCGUAUCCAACCUGCCCUUCACCACGGGAUAACCCGGCGAAAGUCGGACUAAUACCGUAUGUUGUCCAUUGACGGCAUCCGAUUUGGACGAAAGGUUUGGCGGUGAAGGAUGGGGAUGCGUCCGAUUAGCUUGACGGCGGGGUAACGGCCCACCGUGGCGACGAUCGGUAGGGGUUCUGAGAGGAAGGUCCCCCACACUGGAACUGAGACACGGUCCAGACUCCUACGGGAGGCAGCAGUGAGGAAUAUUGGUCAAUGGGCGUAAGCCUGAACCAGCCAAGUAGCGUGCAGGAUGACGGCCCUAUGGGUUGUAAACUGCUUUUAUGCGGGGAUAAAGGAGCCCACGUGUGGGUUUUUGCAGGUACCGCAUGAAUAAGGACCGGCUAAUUCCGUGCCAGCAGCCGCGGUAAUACGGAAGGUCCGGGCGUUAUCCGGAUUUAUUGGGUUUAAAGGGAGCGUAGGCCGCGCCUUAAGCGUGUUGUGAAAUCCGGGUGCUCAACAUCCGGCUUGCAGCGCGAACUGGGGCGCUUGAGUGCGCAGAAAGUAGGCGGAAUUCGUGGUGUAGCGGUGAAAUGCUUAGAUAUCACGAGGAACUCCGAUUGCGAAGGCAGCCUACUGUAGCGCUACUGACGCUGAUGCUCGAAAGCGUGGGUAUCGAACAGG